GAUGAACGCUGGCGGCGUGCCUAAUACAUGCAAGUCGAGCGAACAGACGAGGAGCUUGCUCCUCUGACGUUAGCGGCGGACGGGUGAGUAACACGUGGAUAACCUACCUAUAAGACUGGGAUAACUUCGGGAAACCGGAGCUAAUACCGGAUAAUAUAUUGAACCGCAUGGUUCAAUAGUGAAAGACGGUUUUGCUGUCACUUAUAGAUGGAUCCGCGCCGCAUUAGCUAGUUGGUAAGGUAACGGCUUACCAAGGCGACGAUGCGUAGCCGACCUGAGAGGGUGAUUGGCCACACUGGAACUGAGACACGGUCCAGACUCCUACGGGAGGCAGCAGUAGGGAAUCUUCCGCAAUGGGCGAAAGCUGGACGGAGCAACGCCGCGUGAGUGAUGAAGGUCUUCGGAUCGUAAAACUCUGUUAUUAGGGAAGAACAAAUGUGUAAGUAACUAUGCACGUCUUGACGGUACCUAAUCAGAAAGCCACGGCUAACUACGUG
rnacentral:rRNA from 1 species